UCCUAUCUGUAUGCUCAGAUGUCU
rnacentral:siRNA from 1 species